rnacentral:sRNA from 1 species
AAAUGAGUAAGGACCAGGAGAGUAGGAGUGGGGCUCCCAAGCAGAGAGUCGCCGGCGCUGGGAUGGCGAUUGACCCCCGCUUCGAACCACACCUGGGAACUGGACGGCUGAACGGAGUAGGUCGGCCCGGGACCACCCGUUAGCAGGGUUGAAGUUAGCUUCAACGUGAGGCCCCUUUCGUGAGGGAGGGGUGAACGGAGGUGGAACCGUGCUCCUGUGCCCUCUUG